rnacentral:rRNA from 1 species
AUUGAACGCUGGCGGCAGGCCUAACACAUGCAAGUCGAACGCGUGGCGGACGGGUGAGAAAUGUCUGGGAAACUGCCCGAUGGAGGGGGAUCACUACUGGAAACGGUAGCUAAUACCGCAUACCAUCAGAUGUGCCCAGAUGGGAUUAGCUAGUUGGUGGGGUAAUGGCUCACCAAGGCGACGCUCCCGAGCUGUUCUGAGAGGAUGACCAGCCACACGGUGACUGAGACACGGACACGACUCCUACGGGAUGCAGCAGUGGGGAAUAUUGCACAAUGGGGGCAAGCCUGAUGCAGCCAUGCCGCGUGUAGGAAGAAGGCCUUAGGGUUGUAAAGUACUUUCAGCGGGGAGGCGUUACCCGCAGAAGAAGCACCGGCUAACUCCGUGCCAGCAGCCGCGGUAAUAC